AGGACGAACGCUGGCGGCGUGCUUAACACAUGCAAGUCGAGCGGAAAGGCCCUUCGGGGUACUCGAGCGGCGAACGGGUGAGUAACACGUGAGUAACCUGCCCCUAGCUCUGGGAUAGCUCCGGGAAACCGGGAUUAAAUACCAGAUACGACCACUUUAGACAUCUGUCGUGGUGGAAAGGAUUCCGGCUAGGGAUGGGCUCGCGGCCUAUCAGCUUGUUGGUGGGGUAACGGCCUACCAAGGCGACGACGGGUAGCCGGCCUGAGAGGGCGACCGGCCACACUGGGACUGAGACACGGCCCAGACUCCUACGGGAGGCAGCAGUGGGAAUUUGCGCAAUGGGGGAAACCCUGACGCAGCAACGCCGCGUGGAGGAUGAAGUCCCUUGGGACGUAAACUCCUUUCGACCCGACGAUAAUGACGGUACGGUGGAAGAAGCCCCGGCUAACUUCGUGCCAGCAGCCGC
rnacentral:rRNA from 1 species